UACGUAGGGUGCGAGCGUUAAUCGGAAUUACUGGGCGUAAAGCGUGCGCAGGCGGUUCGUUGUGUCGGCGGUGAAAGCCCCGGGCUCAACCUGGGAAUGGCCGUUGAAACUGGCGGACUGGAGUGUGGCAGAGGGGGGUGGAAUUCCGCGUGUAGCAGUGAAAUGCGUAGAGAUGCGGAGGAACACCGAUGGCGAAGGCAGCCCCCUGGGCUGACACUGACGCUCAGGCACGAAAGCGUGGGGAGCAAACAGG
rnacentral:rRNA from 1 species